rnacentral:rRNA from 1 species
CUCCCUCGUUGCUGAUCUCAGGUUCGAUAGUGCCAAUUAGACACUACCUCGCCAAGAACCAACUUCGAUGAAGCGACGGGCGGUGUGUG